rnacentral:lncRNA from 1 species
CAAUAACUAAGCAGAUUUCUUCUAUUUACAUCUUCUAAGUUAAUCUGACCUAUUUUUAGUCAAAAAUCCAAUCAUACUUGCAUUUUUUUCACCGAUCUUUGUCUCUAGGCUAGAGGUGGUUUGAUUCUUUAAUUAUUUUUUUUGUUUUUUUUUGUUUUGUUUUAUUUUGUUUUUGGUAAGGGAUACUGUAUCAUAGUAUACAACUCUGACUAUCCUAGAACUCAUUGCCUAUACCAAGCUGGCAGCAAGAACAAUGAGAUAUUUGUGCCUCUGUAUCCUCAGUGCUGUAAUUAAAUGCAUUCACGAAUCUAAGCAUCUUGUUCAUUACUUUUGUAAUGAGAAUAUUUCAUACAAUAUCUCUGUGUGCUUACUACUAUUGAUCUUUUUGCUUGUCUCUUUAUGUGCAUUCAUUGGCAUUUGUCCUCCAAGACUUUCUCCAACUCAAAGGGUGAAGAAAUGACAGAUGAGAACUCAUUAUUUGGUUUCCUUCAAAAAUGACUUGGUGAUCAUGAAUACAUUAUAUCUUCUGUGUCAGGAAACAAGUGGGCGAACUCCCAACAUUAUUUGAAAAUAUUGUCAAUGAAAUGUACAUGUCUAAUAUUUCAUUCUCAUGCUACUUUUGUACAUAUAUGUGGGAUGUUUUAGAACGCAGUGACGUACAAUGAUGUACUGGUGAGCUUUACUCAGGAAGAAUGGGCUUUGCUGGAUCCUUCCCAGAAGAGUCUCUACAAAGAUGUGAUGCUCGAAACCUAUAGGAACCUCACUGCCAUAGGCUAUAACUGGGAAGAAGAUAAUAUUGAAGAAGAUUGUGAAAAUUCUGGAAGACCCACUAGGUAAUUUUCUUGUGCAUGCUGAUCCAAAUAUGCCUUUGAAGAAAUCUUAGUUUGUUCUUGAAGUUUUAGUUAAAAUCAGGGGUGUAAAUAAGCACAGUUUUAUGGAUACUGAUUAUUAAAUACUCACAAAAAGGACAACUCAGUGUCAGGUAUUUGAUUGUGUUUGCAAGGCUUUCCUUUAAGACAGAAAACACGGAAACACUGCCUUAACAGACAGUACCUUAUCAAGCACAGCCCCAUUCAUUCUAUGGUGUAGAUCUGCCAGUCUGUUUAGUCUCAUGCCACUCAGCUAGUAUAAAAACUGUACACACUGAGUAUGAAAUCAGUUUAUAUCCAAAACUGUCU